GAUGAACGCUGGCGGCGUGCCUAAUACAUGCAAGUCGAGCGAACAGAUGAGGAGCUUGCUCCUCUGACGUUAGCGGCGGACGGGUGAGUAAAACGUGGAUAACCUACCUAUAAGACUGGGAUAACUUCGGGAAACCGGAGCUAAUACCGGAUAAUAUAUUGAACCGCAUGGUUCAAUAGUGAAAGACGGUUUUGCUGUCACUUAUAGAUGGAUCCGCGCCGCAUUAGCUAGUUGGUAAGGUAACGGCUUACCAAGGCAACGAUGCGUAGCCGACCUGAGAGGGUGAUCGGCCACACUGGAACUGAGACACGGUCCAGACUCCUACGGGAGGCAGCAGUAGGGAAUCUUCCGCAAUGGGCGAAAGCUUGACGGAGCAACGCCGCGUGAGUGAUGAAGGUCUUCGGAUCGUAAAACUCUGUUAUUAGGGAAGAACAAAUGUGUAAGUAACUAUGCACGUCUUGACGGUACCUAAUCAGAAAGCCACGGCUAACUACGUG
rnacentral:rRNA from 1 species